rnacentral:rRNA from 1 species
GUGCUCUUCCGAUCUCUCCACCCAGACUCAUCCAUAAGACAUGAAAUAGAGAGUUUCUGUUGGCGCUGAUAUGUCCCUUAUUUGAUAGGGUGCCCGUACCGUAAACCGACACAGGUGGAAUAGAUGAGUAUUCUAAGGCGCGUGGGUUAAAUCUCUCUAAGGAACUCGGCAAACUGACCCCGUAUGUUAGCUAUAAGGGGUGCCGCGCAAGCGGCCACAGAUAAGAGUGUCAACCGACUGUUUAGCAAAAACACAGCUCUCUGCUAAGUCGCAAGACGACGUAUAGGGAGUGACUUGUGACCAAUGCGGAAAGGUGAAAGCGUGAGGUGCAAGCUUCGCGUCUAAGCCCCCGUGAAUGUCGGCCGUAACUAUAACGGUCCUAAGGUAGCGAAAUUCCUUGUCGGGUAAGUUCCGACCCGCACGAAUCAAGUAACGAGUUGACAACUGUCUCGGAGAGAUGCCCAGUGAAAUUGUAGUGGCGGUGAAGAUGCCGCCUACCCGCAGCAGGACGGAAAGACCCUAUGCACCUUUACUGUAAGCUGUUAUUGUCGCUUGAUUUUUAAUACGUAGCAUAGCUGGGAGACUGUGAAGCCUGCCUUCAGGGGCGGGCCGAGUCGAAAUAUGAAAUACCAGUUUUUAAUUGUUAGGCGUCUAACCUCGACCCAUCAUCUGGGCGGGGGACAGUGAUAGCAGGUCAGUUUUUCUGGGGCGGAAUCCUCCCAAAGAGUAACGGAGGAUUACGAAGGUUCCCUCAGCCCGGUCGGUAAUCGGGCUAUAGAGCGCAUGAGUAUAAGGGAGCUUUACUGUGAGACCAACAAGUCGAGCAGUUGCGAAAGCAGGUUCAAGUGAUCCGGUGGUUGAAUGUGGAAUCGCCAUCGCUCAUAGGACAAAAGGUACGCUAGGGAUAACAGGCUGAUCGCGCCCAAGCGUUCACAGCGACGGCGCGGUUUGGCACCUCGAUGUCGACUCAUCACAUCCUGGGGCUGGAGAAGGUCCCAAGGGUCCGGCUGUUCGCCGGUUAAAGUGGUACGCGAGUUGGGUUCAGAACGUCGUGAGACAGUUCGGUCCUCUAUCCGCUGUGGGCGUUUGAGAUUUGAGGGGUUCAUUCUCUAGUACGAGAGGACCGAGAAUGACGCACCUCUGGUGUUCCGGUUGUCACGUCAGUGGCAGCGCCGGGUAGCUAUGUGCGGAAGAGAUAAGCGCUGAAAGCAUCUAAGCGCCAAGCUCAUCCCAAGAUAAGAUCUCAAUCCGUCGCAAGACGGUGCAAGGUCCGGGUAGACCACCCGGUUGAUAGGGCAGAAAUGCAAGCGUAGUAAUACGUUCAGUUUACUGCUACUAAUGACCGU